rfam:Protomyces lactucaedebilis strain 12-1054 BCR37scaffold_4, whole genome shotgun sequence.
GGCCUCUAGGCCUAGUUGGCGAGGCGCCUGUUUCGUAAGCGGGAGAUGGCGGGUUCAAUUCCCGUAGCGGCCA